rnacentral:rRNA from 1 species
GAGUUUGAUCCUGGCUCAGGAUGAACGCUGGCGGCGUGCCUAAUACAUGCAAGUCGAGCGAACGGACGAGAAGCUUGCUUCUCUGAUGUUAGCGGCGGACGGGUGAGUAACACGUGGAUAACCUACCUAUAAGACUGGGAUAACUUCGGGAAACCGGAGCUAAUACCGGAUAAUAUUUUGAACCGCAUGGUUCAAAAGUGAAAGACGGUCUUGCUGUCACUUAUAGAUGGAUCCGCGCUGCAUUAGCUAGUUGGUAAGGUAACGGCUUACCAAGGCAACGAUGCAUAGCCGACCUGAGAGGGUGAUCGGCCACACUGGAACUGAGACACGGUCCAGACUCCUACGGGAGGCAGCAGUAGGGAAUCUUCCGCAAUGGGCGAAAGCCUGACGGAGCAACGCCGCGUGAGUGAUGAAGGUCUUCGGAUCGUAAAACUCUGUUAUUAGGGAAGAACAUAUGUGUAAGUAACUGUGCACAUCUUGACGGUACCUAAUCAGAAAGCCACGGCUAACUACGUGCCAGCAGCCGCGGUAAUACGUAGGUGGCAAGCGUUAUCCGGAAUUAUUGGGCGUAAAGCGCGCGUAGGCGGUUUUUUAAGUCUGAUGUGAAAGCCCACGGCUCAACCGUGGAGGGUCAUUGGAAACUGGAAAACUUGAGUGCAGAAGAGGAAAGUGGAAUUCCAUGUGUAGCGGUGAAAUGCGCAGAGAUAUGGAGGAACACCAGUGGCGAAGGCGACUUUCUGGUCUGUAACUGACGCUGAUGUGCGAAAGCGUGGGGAUCAAACAGGAUUAGAUACCCUGGUAGUCCACGCCGUAAACGAUGAGUGCUAAGUGUUAGGGGGUUUCCGCCCCUUAGUGCUGCAGCUAACGCAUUAAGCACUCCGCCUGGGGAGUACGACCGCAAGGUUGAAACUCAAAGGAAUUGACGGGGACCCGCACAAGCGGUGGAGCAUGUGGUUUAAUUCGAAGCAACGCGAAGAACCUUACCAAAUCUUGACAUCCUUUGACAACUCUAGAGAUAGAGCNUUCCCCUUCGGGGGACAAAGUGACAGGUGGUGCAUGGUUGUCGUCAGCUCGUGUCGUGAGAUGUUGGGUUAAGUCCCGCAACGAGCGCAACCCUUAAGCUUAGUUGCCAUCAUUAAGUUGGGCACUCUAAGUUGACUGCCGGUGACAAACCGGAGGAAGGUGGGGAUGACGUCAAAUCAUCAUGCCCCUUAUGAUUUGGGCUACACACGUGCUACAAUGGACAAUACAAAGGGCAGCGAAACCGCGAGGUCAAGCAAAUCCCAUAAAGUUGUUCUCAGUUCGGAUUGUAGUCUGCAACUCGACUACAUGAAGCUGGAAUCGCUAGUAAUCGUAGAUCAGCAUGCUACGGUGAAUACGUUCCCGGGUCUUGUACACACCGCCCGUCACACCACGAGAGUUUGUAACACCCGAAGCCGGUGGAGUAACCUUUUAGGAGCUAGCCGUCGAAG